rnacentral:rRNA from 1 species
UACGUAGGGGGCAAGCGUUAUCCGGAUUUACUGGGUGUAAAGGGAGCGUAGACGGCAGCGCAAGUCUGGAGUGAAAUGCCGGGGCCCAACCCCGGAACUGCUUUGGAAACUGUGCAGCCCGGGUGCAGGAGAGGUAAGCGGAAUUCCUAGUGUAGCGGUGAAAUGCGUAGAUAUUAGGAGGAACACCAGUGGCGAAGGCGGCUUACUGGACUGUAACUGACGUUGAGGCUCGAAAGCGUGGGGAGCAAACAGG